UUAAAGUAGUAAGGGCGCAGGGUGGAUGCCUUGGCACUAAGAGCCGAUGAAAGACGUGAUAAGCUGCGAAAAGCUUCGGGGAGGAGCACAUAUCCAAUGAUCCGGAGAUAUCUGAAUGGGGAAACCCGGCAGAGGAAACCUCUGUCAGCGUGCAGUGAAUACAUAGCUGUACGUGGGGAACCCGGGGAACUGAAACAUCUAAGUACCCGGAGGAAGAGAAAGAAAAUUUAUCGAUUUCCAAAGUAGCGGCGAGCGAAAUGGAAAGAGCCCAAACCGUGAUGCGUGCAUCGCGGGGUUCGGACUGCGUUGUGGCAGACGUAAGAUAGGAGAACGGACUGGGAAGUCCGGCCGGAGAGAGUGAAAGCCUCGUAUCCGAAAUCCCAAGUCGCCUAGCAGGAUCCAGAGUAGGACGAGACACGAGAAACCUUGUCUGAACGAGCGGGGACCACCCCGUAAGGCUAAAUACUUCUUAGUGACCGAUAGCGCAUAGUACUGUGAAGGAAAGGUGAAAAGUACCCCGGGAGGGGAGUGAAAGAGAACCUGAAACCCUGUGUCUACAAGCUGUGGGACCUCUUUAUAUGAGGGACUGCGUACUUUUUGUAGAACGGUCCGGCGAGUUGUGCGUACUGGCGAGGUUAAGGACUUAAGGUCUGGAGCCGAAGUGAAAGCAAGCGUUAAUAGCGCGUCAAGUCAGUGAGUGCAGACCCGAAACCGGGUGACCUAUCCAUGUCCAGGUUGAAGCUUCCGUAAGAGGAAGUGGAGGACCGAACCCACAUCCGUUGAAAAGGGUGGGGAUGAGGUGUGGAUAGCGGAGAAAUUCCAAUCGAACCCGGAGAUAGCUGGUUCUCCUCGAAAUAGCUUUAGGGCUAGCCUCAUGAGAGUCUUAUGGAGGUAGAGCACUGAAUUGCCUAGGGGGCGUCAAAGCUUACCAAAGCAUAUCAAACUCCGAAUGCCAUCAAGAUGAUUCAUGGGAGUCAGACCAUACGAGAUAAGUUGGAUGGUCAAAAGGGAAAGAGCCCAGACCUACAGCUAAGGUCCCAAAGUGCGUGUUAAGUGGAAAAGGAUGUGGGGAUUCUAAGACAACUAGGACGUUGGCUUAGAAGCAGCCAUUCAUUGAAAGAGUGCGUAAUAGCUCACUAGUCGAGAGUCCCUGCGCCGAAAAUGUCCGGGGCUGAAACACGACACCGAAGCUUAGGAAUGUGUAAACAUUGGUAGAGGAGCAUUGCUGGCGGGAUGAAGCCAUACCGUAAGGAGUGGUGGACUGCUAGGAAGAGAGAAUGCCGGAAUGAGUAGCGAGAUGAAGGUGAGAAUCCUUCAGGCCGAAUAUCUAAGGUUUCCAGAGUAAAGCUGAUCUGCUCUGGGUAAGUCGGGACCUAAGGCGAGGUCGAAAGACGUAGUCGAUGGAUAACAGGUUGAAAUUCCUGUACCGCAUAUAAACAGAACUGUGGGGACACAGACAGGGAAUGGAAUCCGGGAAUGGAUAUCCCGGUGCAAGCGAGGUAGGAGUGCUGUUGGCAAAUCCGCAGCACGAUCUGAAGACGUGACGCGUACCGAACAUAAGUAGGGAAGUCCAGGCCCCUGGCUGUCAAGAAAAGCCGCUAUCGUUUUAUAUGUGCCCGUACCGCAAACCGACACAGGUGGAUGAGGAGAGAAUCCUAAGGCCGACGGGAGAAGUAUUGUUAAGGAACUCGGCAAAAUGACUCCGUAACUUCGGGAGAAGGAGUGCCAUGAGAGUGGCCGCAGAGAAAUGGCCCAAGCAACUGUUUAGCAAAAACACAGGUCUAUGCAAAACCGCAAGGUGAAGUAUAUGGGCUGACGCCUGCCCGGUGCUGGAAGGUUAAGGGGAGAGGUUAGCGCAAGCGAAGCUUUGAACUUAAGCCCCAGUAAACGGCGGCCGUAACUAUAACGGUCCUAAGGUAGCGAAAUUCCUUGUCGGGUAAGUUCC
rnacentral:rRNA from 1 species